rnacentral:rRNA from 1 species
AUUGAACGCUGGCGGAAUGCUUUACACAUGCAAGUCGAACGGCAGCACGGGGGCAACCCUGGUGGCGAGUGGCGAACGGGUGAGUAAUACAUCGGAACGUGCCUGGUCGUGGGGGAUAACGUAGCGAAAGUUACGCUAAUACCGCAUACGAUCUGAGGAUGAAAGCGGGGGACCUUCGGGCCUCGCGCGAUCGGAGCGGCCGAUGGCAGAUUAGGUAGUUGGUGGGGUAAAGGCCUACCAAGCCGACGAUCUGUAGCUGGUCUGAGAGGACGACCAGCCACACUGGGACUGAGACACGGCCCAGACUCCUACGGGAGGCAGCAGUGGGGAAGUUUGGACAAUGGGCGCAAGCCUGAUCCAGCCAUUCCGCGUGCAGGACGAAGGCCUUCGGGUUGUAAACUGCUUUUGUAUGGAACGAAAAGGCUCUGGCUAAUACCUGGGGCUCAUGACGGUACCGUAAGAAUAAGCACCGGCUAACUACGUG